GNGGGGAUAUUGCACAAUGAGGGAAAUCUUGAUGCAGCCAUGCCGCGUGUGUGAAGAAGGCCCGAGGGUUGUAAAGCACUUUCAGUGGUGAAGAAAGGUAUUUGAUUAAUAAUCAAGUACUGUGACAUUAACCACAGAAGAAGCACCGGCUAACUCUGUGCCAGCAGCCGCGGUAAUACAGAGGGUGCAAGCNGUUAUUCGGAAUUACUUGGGCGUAAAGCGCGCGUAGGCGGACUGUUAAGUCGGUUGUGAAAGCCCUGGGCUCAACCUAGGAAUUGCAUCCGAUACUGGCAGUCUAGAGUUUAAGAGAGGCAAGGGGAAUUCCAGGUGUAGCAGUGAAAUGCGUAGAUAUCUGGAGGAACAUCAGUGGCGAAGGCGCCUUGCUGGCUUAAAACUGACGCUGAGGUGCGAAAGCGUGGGUAGCGAACGGGAUUAGAUACCCCGGUAGUCCAUGCCGUAAACGAUGUCAACUAGCUGUUGGUCUUAUUAAAAAGAUUAGUAGCGCAGCUAACGCGAUAAGUUGACCGCCUGGGGAGUACGGUCGCAAGAUUAAAACUCAAAGGAAUUGACGGGGGCCCGCACAAGCGGUGGAGCAUGUGGUUUAAUUCGAUGCAACGCGAAGAACCUUACCAUUCCUUUGACAUNCUGCGAACUUUNUAGAGAUAGAUUGGUGCCUUCGGGAACGCAGUGACAGGUGCUGCAUGGCUGUCGUCAGCUCGUGUCGNGAGAUGUUGGGUUAAGUNC
rnacentral:rRNA from 1 species